AUUGAACGCUGGCGGCAGGCUUAACACAUGCAAGUCGAGCGGGGGAAGGUAGCUUGCUACCGGACCUAGCGGCGGACGGGUGAGUAAUGCUUAGGAAUCUGCCUAUUAGUGGGGGACAACAUCUCGAAAGGGAUGCUAAUACCGCAUACGUCCUACGGGAGAAAGCAGGGGAUCUCCGGCCCUUGCGCUAAUAGAUGAGCCUAAGUCGAAUUAGCUAGUUGGUGGGGUAAAGGCCUACCAAGGCGACGAUCUGUAGCGGGUCUGAGAGGACGACCCGCCACACUGGGACUGAGACACGGCCCAGACUCCUACGGGAGGAAGCAGUGGGGAGUAUUGGACAAUGUGGGGAACCCUGUUCCAGCCAUGCCGCGUGUGUGAUGAAGGCCUUAUGGUUGUAAAGCCCUUUAAGCGAGGAGGAGGCUACUUUAGUUAAUACCUAGAGAUAGUGGACGUUACUCGCAGAAUAAGCACCGGCUAACUCUGUGCCAGCCGCCGCGGUAA
rnacentral:rRNA from 1 species